rnacentral:rRNA from 1 species
UCUUGGUCCAUUUAGAGGAAGUAAAAGUCGUAACAAGGUCUCCGUUGGUGAACCAGCGGAGGGAUCAUUGCUGGAACGCGCCCUAGGCGCACCCAGAAACCCUUUGUGAACUUAUACCUUACUGUUGCCUCGGCGCAUGCUGGCCCCCUCGGGGCCCCCUGGAGACAGGGAGCAGGCACGCCGGCGGCCAAGUUAACUCUUGUUUUUACACUGAAACUCUGAGAAAAAAACACAAAUGAAUCAAAACUUUCAACAACGGAUCUCUUGGUUCUGGCAUCGAUGAAGAACGCAGCGAAAUGCGAUAAGUAAUGUGAAUUGCAGAAUUCAGUGAAUCAUCGAAUCUUUGAACGCACAUUGCGCCCUCUGGUAUUCCGGAGGGCAUGCCUGUUCGAGCGUCAUUUCAACCCUCAAGCAUUGCUUGGUGUUGGGGCACUGCCUGUAAAAGGGCAGGCCCUGAAAUCUAGUGGCGAGCUCGCCAGGACCCCGAGCGCAGUAGUUAAACCCUCGCUCUGGAAGGCCCUGGCGGUGCCCCGCCGUUAAACCCCCAACUUCUGGAAAUUGACCUCGC